ACUUAAAUUGAAGAGUUUGAUCAUGGCUCAGAUUGAACGCUGGCGGCAGGCCUAACACAUGCAAAGUCGAGCGGUAGCACAGAGAGCUUGCUCUC
rnacentral:rRNA from 1 species